rnacentral:rRNA from 1 species
UUGCGGUUAAAAAGCUCGUAGUUGGAUUUCUGUCGGUGAGGUGCAGUCCGGCCUUUGUGUUGUGUACUUGUACCGCCACCGGCAUCUUCCUAGGGACUGUGUCUGCUCUUCAUUGAGUGGCGCAUAAUCUAGGACUUUUACUUUGAGGAAAUAGGAGUGUUUCAAGCAGGCAUGCGCCGUGAACACGUUAGCAUGGAAUAAUAGCAUCGGACCUCGCUCCAAAGCUGUUGGUUUCUUGGAACGAGGUAAAGGUGAAUAGGGAUUGUUGGGGGCAUUCGUAUUUAACUGUCAGAGGUGAAAUUCUUGGAUUUGUUGAAGACGGACUACUGCGAAAGCAUCUGCCAAAGAUGUUCUCAUUGAUCAAGAACGAAAGUUAGGUGAUC